rnacentral:rRNA from 1 species
UACGUAGGGUGCGAGCGUUAAUCGGAAUUACUGGGCGUAAAGCGUGCGCGGGCGGUUUUGUAAGUCAGAUGUGAAAUCCCCGAGCUCAACUUGGGAACUGCGUUUGAAACUACAAGACUAGAAUAUGUCAGAGGGGGGUAGAAUUCCACGUGUAGCAGUGAAAUGCGUAGAGAUGUGGAGGAAUACCAAUGGCGAAGGCAGCCCCCUGGGAUAAUAUUGACGCUCAUGCACGAAAGCGUGGGGAGCAAACAGG